AGCCUCGUAGUGAUUCACGCUAGAAUGCAAAUCUAGAAACGUACACUAAAGGCGUACCGAGGCUU
rnacentral:tRNA from 1 species